CCUAUUCAGAUCAAGAGAAGCCUUAUACUGAGGAUAAUUUCUCUUCCAGCAAUCCUGCUUCUUGCAAAAAAAAUACUCUGCCUAACUUUGAUCAGCCUUGAACUUAGAUUUCUAGGACUGACUCUCAGCAUCUGACAUCUUCUUAUUCUUCUUCUUUUUCUCUUUUUUAAAGGGACGAUGACCACCUGAAGAUCCUUCUACUAAAUUCACCAUCUCCUUGUGGAGCUAGUG
rnacentral:lncRNA from 1 species